GUAAAACUUUGCAGCCCACUAGAAAUAUAAACCACCAAUAAUGUGUUCUUAAGAAAUUCGGGAACAAAGCAAUUAUUCAUUCAUGAGCUCUUCUUAUCCAAUCAUUUGCAGAUGCAAAUUUGAAACUGAAACAAAAAAUGCCAAAAUAGAGGAUGGCAUUUCUCUUGGAAACAGAAAAAACUGAACAUAAAUGCUUUUUGAAGAAAGAUUUCAAACUUAGUAGCCUGCUGGCCUGUGUGCAAUGAAGCUGAUGCACUGCACUUGGCGAACAUUGUCGAAUCCAAUGAUGCGCACAAAAGCGGUCGGGUAUGCCUUCACAGCCUCAUCAAGUUCCUUCAACACCUGGGCAGCAUCACUGCACCCAAACAUGGGGAGCUUCCACAUGGUCCAGUAGCGUCCGUCAUAGUAUCCAGGUGACUUGUGGUUCUCACGGUAGACAAAGCCUUUCUGCACAUACAAAAUGCAGCAAACAGAUCAUCAUCACGAUACUUUUAGCGUGUUUGAUUCUGUGGUGAGAAGUCUCGUAAUCAAUUAUAGAGAGAAGCUACAAAGUGUUGUUUCUGAACAUAUCAUGCUUUGGAUUGUGUGUAACAUCAAUCCAACCUGCUAUUUGUAGUUUUUCUCAAGUGAUUAUGAAACUUUCUACGGCAGAACCAAAAAUGCUAAUAAUGAAAAAUAACAAAGUAAAGAACCAAAGGGUUUGAAGAGAAUUGACCUCCGUCUCAAAUUCCAAGCAAGGAACCCACCCCUUCCUAAGAAGGUAUUCCACUUCCUUUAAUAGUUGCUCUGUGGUGAGUGGUGGCAGGUAUGAAAGAGUCUCAAACUUCUUCUUGCCAACAGGAGGCCACACCUAGUAGUAUGCAUAAGAUUGAGUAAAGAGGUAAGCAAAUUUGUACUUGUUUACAUUUGCCAAUGACUUUAAUGUCAUUUCCACAAUUGAUUCUAAACCCAUAAUCAAUUCUUGGGAGAAGCUUUUGCAAGUAGCUUUUAUGUGUCAAAAUUGAUUAUGAGGAGAUAGAAGCUGAUCCAAACUUGGUAUUAAUUUAAGUAACCUUAUUAUGGUACAAAAAAUAUGUAAGAUGCAUUGUAAUCAUUUUGAGGCAUCUUACCUGCAUGCAUUGUACUCUUCCACCGUUGCUUGCAAUGGAGGUAAUGUCAGUGUUGGUCUUUCUAACUGGGAAGCCAGCCAUGGACUUGAGGCCAGUGAAUGGAGCCACCAUGUUGGCCUGUGCCGGGGAGGCACCAUUAAUGGUGGUGACGGCGGAGGAAGUGAUCAUAGAGGAAGCCAUUUCUUUCUCCUUUCUUAGUUCUCUAGUCAGAAAUACUUGCAAGUCUUGCACUCAAACAGGGUAUAUAUAAUGGUUUAGUUUUGAUAAUUUCUGAUGAAGUGGUCUGAAAUUGAGUGGAUUUGGAUGCUGCCUAAUUUCAACCAUUGGAUUGUGAAAUGAUAAACAUUGCAGCAUAUAAACCACACGAGAGUGGGGGGUUUUUAUUGUAAAAUUUACACUUGAAAAUCAUCACCAUAAACACCACUAUUUUUUUUCUUCUUUGGAGUCAUUUUAUUCUUACUCAACAUUUGUGCAACUUCUGAUAAAGUGAUAUAAUGGAAAAAGAUAAGUAGAAAAAUAAGUUGUAAAAUAGUGUAGAGAAAAUAAAAAAGAGUGGAAACGAUAUAUUUUAUUCUUUCUGAAAUGAUUACAUUUUAUUUUCUCAAUUCUUCCCCUUUUGUUUGUUGGAUUUCCAUUUUCAAAAGUACAAGUCAUGUAGCUAAAUGAACCUCUUAUCUUUUUCUUUAUCUCAGUGCAACGUUUCCCACAAGUGUAGCUAUCAGAAGGGUCCGGUAUUCACAAACCCCACAACCACUAAAUGAUUAGCCAAUUAGUAAUCCAUGACUACCAGCAGGAAUAAGCUCCAAACAAAAUCACAUAAUGGACUCUAGACUAGUUAUCAGCCAAUAAUCAGAUUCUAACCAAGAUUGGAAUUUUGAUGUUUAAAAAAAGUUUGUUUUAUUUCUUACUUUUGGUCUUUGAUAGGUGUCCACACCCUCUUCGAGAACAAGACUAAUUUCGCUUAGGAAGCUGUGACAGUCCCUCACAACGGAUGACUUUCUUGGAGUUUGAAUUUGUGUCAUCACCCUUACAGGAGCCUACCUUGCCUACGACUACUCUAACACCCUGUUGGUAAAUUUGUUUUAUUUUGAUAGUAAGAUAACUUGUUAAAAUCCAACUAAUUAUAUUUGGCUCUAUGUUGAAUUGAGAUUCAUUUAGCCGUUACAGAACAACAAUUAUGGUUUGUAAGUAGCAGAAAGGUCAGUGAAGAAAAGCCUCCAACAAAGUGCUAUACUGGAUUAGCAUGUGUUUAGUUAUCUUUGCAGCUUUGCAUGAAUCAAUCAAAGGUAUAGCAAAUUGGUCAGGCAAAUGUUGAGUGCAAAAGUUGUAAUUUUUUUGUAACAGAAGCUCUGCAAAUAUAUUUGUUUCCAAGGAUACCGUGAAUUUCUAUUUGGUAUUGAAAGUUCAGUAGCUACAUGGCCAACAGAAGUACAGUUGAAGUAUGCUUCAUGUCUGGUUAAAAUCCUAUAAAAGGGUCAAAAGUUAUAGCUAUUAGGUACUAGCUAGCAACCAACACUUCAAAAGAUAGACAGAAACUAUGUGAACUUAAAUGUCCAUUUAUCUAAGCAUUUUGCUCAUUGUGUUUGGCUUAUAACUUCUUAUGUUCUUUAACAAAACUCCAUUUUACCUUUGUAGUAGGCAUGAAGAAUAAACACCUCAAACAUUCAUUGCAAUGUGAACAGACUUUUUUUCGGACAGUAAGAAGAGUUCUAUUUAUUUUUUAUCUAGAAGUACGAGCGAGGAUCUGUGCUUAUCAAAAAAAAAAAAAACUAGGAUCUGUUUCCACUAAUGCAAACAGAUAACUUGACACAUCAUAGUUCAAUUGUGUAAUUGGUCAUAGACAUUUUGACUUAACAAUGACAUUUAUAAACACACCUAUUCAGAACAUCCAUUUGUGUGAGGCUGUUUUAUAUAUCUGAUACUUUGCCUUAAUAUCAUACUGUUAUUUCCUUUGUUCGUAAUCAUUGCAAACCCACUAGAAGGAAAACCACAGAUAAUGUGUUCUUAAGAAAUUUGGAAACAAGAAAAUUAUUCAUUCAUGAGCUCUUAUACAUUCAUUUGCAUAUGCAAAUGUGAAACUGAACAAAAGAUGCCAAAAUAUAGGAUGGCAAAGAAAAAGAAAAAACUGAACACAAGGCCUUUUUGUAUGAAGAUUUCAAACUUAGUAGCCUGCAGGCCUGUGAGCAAUGAAGCUGAUGCACUGCACUUGGCGAACGUUGUCGAAUCCGAUGAUGCGAACGAAAGCAUUGGGGUAUGCCUUCACAGCCUCAUCAAGCUCCUUCAACACCUGAGCAGCAUCACUGCAGCCAAACAUGGGCAGCUUCCACAUGGUCCAGUACCGUCCGUCAUAGUAUCCCGGUGACUUGUGGUUCUCACGGUAAACAAAGCCUUUCUGCACAUACAAAAUGCAGCAAACAGAUCAUCAACUAUCAAAGCUAAAAGUUAUAUUAGCAAGUUUAGAUUGGUUUGGUUCUGGCACACAAUUUAAAGUAUGGUAACUCUAGAAGCUGCAAUUUGUAGCUUUGCAGCUUCUGCCAGAAAUUGAUUAUGGGGCUUCCCGCCGCAGAACCAAACAAACUCAUAAUGAAAAUCUAGAAUGUAAAGAACCAAAGGUUGGCCUACUGGAGGUAAAUUUAUCUCCGACUCAAAUUCCAAGAAAGGAAUCAACCAUCAAAGCUCAUAAUAUAUGUAUAUCAUGUUUAAAUCGGUGGUGACACAAGUUUAAAUCACGAUACUUUUAGCGUGUUUGGUUCUGUGUUGAGAAGUAUCCUAAUCAUUUAUAGUGAGAAGCUACAAAAUGCAGCUUCUUAACGUAUCAUGUUUUGGAUUGUAUGCCAUCACUUAGCCAUACCUGCUACUUGCAGCUUCUCCCAAGAAGUGAUUAUGUGACUUAUUACCGCAGAACCAAACACGCUUAUAAUGAAAAACUACAAAGUACAAAGUAAAGAACCAAAGGGUUGGAAGAGAAUUGACCUCUGUCUCAAAUUCCAAGCAAGGAACCCACCCCUUCCUAAGAAGGUAUUCAACUUCCUUUAACAGUUGCUCUGUGGUGAGUGGUGGCAGGUAUGAAAGAGUCUCGAACUUCUUCUUGCCAACAGGAGGCCACACCUAGUAGUAUGCAUAAGAUUGAGUAAAGUGGUUAAUAAAUUUGUACUUGUUCACAUUUGCUAAUGACUUUAAUGUCAUUUAGUACAUCUUUGGAAACUAUCCCACAUUCAAUUAUUGGAAGUUUUUGUGAGUAACUUCAAGUGUCAGAAUGGAUUAUGAUGAAAUACUGUCUUAAUCAAAUGUUAUUAUUUUAUAUAGUACAAAAACAUGUAGCAUUAUCAUUGUAAUCAUCUUGAUGCUUCUUACCUGCAUGCAUUGUACUCUUCCACCGUUGUUUGCAAUGGAGGUAAUGUCAUUGUUUGUCUUUCUAACUGGGAAGCCAGCCAUGGACUUGAG
rnacentral:lncRNA from 1 species